rnacentral:lncRNA from 1 species
CCAAACUGGCCACUGGCCGAUGUCCAGUUGUGGCCGGAGCUGCGAUUGGCCGAGUGUGCGCGCAGAGGAGCCGUUGGCCAGUGUCCAGUUGGCCGAGUCCAUCCUGCGGCGGGCGCGUCGUGCCGGCGCCGCUCUCUGUCCGUCUCUGACCCUGCACCCCUCCCUUGGGACGGGCGAGCCGGGGACACCCCAAAUCCGGGGUGUCCCAAAUCCGGGGUGUCCCAAAUCCGGGGUGUCCCAAAUCUGGGGUGUCCCAAAUCCGGGGUGUCCCAAAUCUGGGGGUGUCCCAAACCUGGAGAGUCCCAAACCUGGGGGCACCCCAAAUCUGGGGUGUCCCAAAUCCAGGGUGUCCCAAAUCUGGGGGCGUCCCAAAUCUGGGGUGUCCCGAAUCUGGAGUGUCCCAAAUUUGGUAUCCUAAAUCUGGGGUGUCCUGGAUCUGGGGAUAUCCCAAAUUGGGGUGUCCCAGUUCUGGGGGCACCCCAAAUCUGGGGUGUCCCGAAUCUGGGGUGUCCCAGCUUCAGGGGUACCCCAAACCCAGGAGUGUCCCAAAUUCGGAGUGUCCCAAAUCUGGGGGCACCCCAAAUCCGGGGCUGUCCCAAAUCUGGGGUGUCCCAAAUCCGGGGUGUCCCAGCUUUGGGGGUGUCCCAAAUCUGGGGUGUCCCAAACCUGGGGGCAUCCCAAAUCUGGGGUGUCCCAAAUCUGGGGUGUCCCAAAUCUGGGGUGUCCCAAAUCCAGGGGUGUUCCAAACCUGGGGUGUCCCAAAUCUGGGGAUAUCCCAAAUUUGGGUGUCCCAGCUCUGGGGGUACCCCAGAUUUGGGGGUAUCCCAAAGUCAGGGCUGUCCUGGCUCCGGGGGUACCCCAAACCUGGGGCUGUCCCCCUCCAGGGGUGUCCCCGCUCCGGGGGUGUCCCCGUUUUGGGUGUCCCGGUUCUUGGGAUAUCCCGGCUCUGGGUGUCCCCGCUCCGGGGGUGUCCCCGUUUUGGGUGUCCCGGCUUCGGGGAUAUCCCAAACCUGGGAUAUCCCAAACCCAGGAUAUCCCAGACCCAAGGGUGUCUCUGCUCCGGGUGUCCCAGCUCCCAGGAUAUCCCAGACCCGGGGGUGUCCCAGCUCUGGGUGUCUCUGCUCCGGGGGUGUCCCAGCUCCGGGUGUCCCCAGCUCCGGGUGUCCCCAGCUCCGGGUGUCCCUGCUCCGGGGGUGUCCCAGCUCCCAGGAUAUCCCAAACCCGGGGGUGUCCCAGCUCCGGGUGUCUCUGCUCCGGGUGUCCCAGCUCCGGGUGUCCCUGC